CUGGGGCGCAGUGGCUGCAAAUAGCAGCCUCGUAGGUAGUGUAUGCAGCCUGUUGCCUGUAUGGGUUGUCCUAAGGGACCUUGGCAACAGCC
ensembl:snoRNA SNORA70 Small nucleolar RNA SNORA70